AGACUGUGGUGCAGACAUCAUCUCAACAAGUCCUUAUACCUCUCCCAGGUGUCUUACAUGCUCUCAUUGUCCAUCUUCAUAAAAGAAGAAAUGUCAUUUCUUAAUUU
rnacentral:snoRNA from 1 species